GACGAACGCUGGCGGCGUGCUUAACACAUGCAAGUCGAACGGAAAGGCCCUGCUUUUGUGGGGUGCUCGAGUGGCGAACGGGUGAGUAACACGUGAGUAACCUGCCCUUGACUUUGGGAUAACUUCAGGAAACUGGGGCUAAUACCGGAUAGGAGCUCCUGCUGCAUGGGGGGGGUUGGAAAGUUUCGGCGGUGGGGGAUGGACUCGCGGCUUAUCAGCUUGUUGGUGGGGUAGUGGCUUACCAAGGCGUUGACGGGUAGCCGGCCUGAGAGGGUGACCGGCCACAUUGGGACUGAGAUACGGCCCAGACUCCUACGGGAGGCAGCAGUGGGGAAUAUUGCACAAUGGGCGGAAGCCUGAUGCAGCAACGCCGCGUGCGGGAUGACGGCCUUCGGGUUGUAAACCGCUUUCGCCUGUGACGAAGCGUGAGUGACGGUAAUGGGUAAAGAAGCACCGGCUAACUACGUG
rnacentral:rRNA from 1 species